rnacentral:snRNA from 1 species
AUACUUACCUGGACGGGGUCUAUGGCCGAUCACGAAGGGUCAUGGCCUAGGCUAGUGGCUCACAUUGCACUUGGUGGGUGCGCUGGCCUACCAUCUCCCCAAGUGGGAGAGUGGACGUCAUAAUUUGUGGUAGAGGGGGUACGCGUUCGCGCGGCCCCUGC